rfam:Schistosoma haematobium scaffold855_1, whole genome shotgun sequence.
AUUCAGCUGACGAGUUGCGUAUAAGACGAAACGCGCGUCUUCAAU